rnacentral:rRNA from 1 species
UACGAAGGGGGCUAGCGUUGUUCGGAAUCACUGGGCGUAAAGGGCGCGUAGGCGGCCGUUCAAGUCGGGGGUGAAAGCCUGUGGCUCAACCACAGAAUUGCCUUCGAUACUGUACGGCUCGAGACCGGAAGAGGUAAGUGGAACUGCGAGUGUAGAGGUGAAAUUCGUAGAUAUUCGCAAGAACACCAGUGGCGAAGGCGGCUUACUGGUCCGGUUCUGACGCUGAGGCGCGAAAGCGUGGGGAUCAAACAGG